UCACUACAGCUCUCCCAUCUGAUCCUGUCCAUCUGGAGCACACAGUGACACUGCAGUGUUCGAUCCUCCGUGACUUUCAGAAUAAAAGUUGUCCCACUGAUAAGAAGAUGUUCUGUUUAAGUGCCAAAUCACAUCAGUCACACCUGGAUUUAAAUUAUAGUUGUGUUAAUGGUGAAGAUGAAUAUGAAAAGAAUCCCGAGGAACUCUCAGCAAAGGCAUGUUUCUACAGCUACUUCAGAAACUUCAGCUCUUUUGAUUCUCUGAAAUAUUACUGUGCGGUGGCCACAUGUGUAGAGUCAUUUUCUGGGGAUAAAAAAGGGGAUACUGCAGCAGUCGACAAGAGCAAAUCAAAAAGGGACAACAUAUUUUUUUACCUGUUUAUCUCUACUCUGGCUAUAAGUGUGAUUGUUGUAGCCUUUCUAGUCUAUUCCAUCAAAAAACUAAAGAAGAAUUCACAUGUGUACUCUAAUGCUGCUCUCGAAACAAAUGGAACUUCAGGUGGUGAUCAGGAAAUUCCACAGGUAAUUAAAAAUAUAAAAAAGCUGUUAGUUAUAUGCAUGUUUUAAUCUCUAACAUGUUCUGCUUCCUCAGACAGAUGAGGAUACGUUGGUAUAUUCUACAGCAACUUUUAAAAAAAUGAGUAAAUCAGCGGAAAGACAUAAAAAACCAACAGAGGAAGACAGCAUCUAUGCUGCUGUCAAGGCUCCUGCCCUGGAUUAACAUCUAUUAUGAGAUAUUUUAUGUGAAUAUAGUUUUCCCCUUUUUUGUUAUAAAUGUACAUAAAUAAACUUUAUUAUCUGGAUACUUUUUACAUUUGUAAAAAGUAUGCAUACACUCACAAGAUGUUUAUUAACUUCAGAUCCCUGCAACAAGCCCAGGUCCAGUUUACUUUGGUGAUUUGGACUAUUCCAUUUCACAGCUGUU